rnacentral:rRNA from 1 species
UACGUAGGUGGCGAGCGUUGUCCGGAUUUACUGGGCGUAAAGAGCGCGCAGGCGGUCGGAUCAGUCGAAUGUGAAAGCCCCCGGCUCAACUGGGGAGGGUCACGCGAUACUGAUCGACUCGAAGGCAGGAGAGGGUAGUGGAAUUCCCGGUGUAGUGGUGAAAUGCGUAGAUAUCGGGAGGAACACCAGUGGCGAAGGCGACUACCUGGCCUGUUCUUGACGCUGAGGCGCGAAAGCUAGGGGAGCAAACGGG